rnacentral:lncRNA from 1 species
AACGUGUCGUGAUAUCGGCGGUCCGGUGUCUCGUGAUCGCUCUCGUAUGGAGUUGGUGCCCAUUGGGCUUUGGGUGGGGUUUUGGACAUUGAGGGGGGGUGCAGGAUAAGUCGGGUGUGCCCUCGAUCCAUCAUACUGCAAUUUUGUUAAUUAUAUUAUUGUUUUGAUAUUAGUAUCAGCUAGUAUUAUAAGAGCAAAUAAUUAUUUAGCUGUCUCCUUUUUUGUCUUAAUAUAAUCUCUUCUCUUUUUUUGUUCAUUGGUUUCUACUUUACAGCCUGCCCUGAUGUUUUGC